GUUUUUAUUUAGUUUAGUAUAUUUAUUUGAGUUUAGGUUCUUUUUAUUUACAGUUUAUUUAUUUUUCUUUAUUUAUUUUUCACACCUUGAGGACAAUGUGUGAUUUAAGUUUGAGGGUGGGAAAUAAGAAAUUUUAGGUUUUUAAUUUUUGUGUCAAGUUAAAAAUUUUCGUUUUUAAGUUAAUAUCCAUAGUUUAUUUUAAGCGUUAGAACAAAUGGACAAGGUGAAGGUUAAUUCCAUAUUAGAGUCUUUUCUAUUUAUCGUCAAUUAGACAUUAAUUCACGAAUUAUACUUUGAAAAUUUGCAUUAUAUAUAAAUGAUUAUGGUGUGUUUAAACUUCUUUCAUUAAUUACUACAUGUUUUCUACACUCACAAUGUUUGCCAGCUCGCUAUAUAAUCAACUUAAAUCAGUUAAAUCCAUCAUGCAAUGCAUUUUCUUCCAAUUUUUUUGUGAUAAACUAAUAGAUAAUUGACUAAAUAAACAUCCUACAAAGUUUCAAUAAAAAUUUCCAAGUUUUUCUUACAAUUUCCGUGGUUUCCAUGUAAUUUUUAUCGAUAUCGAUAUUUUACCGAUAUUUCCAUCGAUAUUUCCGUGUUUUCGGAAUACCGAUAUUUCCGAUAUUACCGAUAUUUAAUACCUUGCUCACAACACACUAGUCAAUGAAAGUCAAAACCUUCGUCUCUAUGGCGUUUUCGUAAAUUCACACUUCUAAAAUUAAUAAAAACGUAAAAUUUGGGACGAGUUGUCACAAUUACUUAUUCUUAAAACAUAACAAAAACAAUUUUUUUUUAAAAUCAGAACAAUCCUAAGGCCAUCUCCAACCAAAUGAGGGCCAAAAGGCUCGCUUUAGCGCUGCAAAAAAAUAUAUUUUAAUGAACAGUGUCAGACCAUAUUUUAUACCAUCUCCAACCGAGAGGACUAAAGGGUCAUAGGCCAAACAUAGUAAUUUGACAAAAAAUCAUCUCCAAUCGAGAGGGCCAAAGGGCUAUAGGCCAAACAUAAUUUAUUAUUUUAAUUGAAUUAAUAUGGUUACUUAAAUUAAACUACCGUAUUAAAGUAAGGUUUUCGGACAUAUUUUGAGUGUCAUUUGUUGUCAUAUGAAUAAGCCUCCGAAUUUCUUAUCUUUAUAUAAUCUCAAUAAUUUUUUGGAUAAGAUUUCGAGUUACAUGUGUCGCUAACGUGAGUAACUCUCCAGAUUUCUUAUGUUUAUGUAAUCUCAAUAAUUUUUCGGAUAGAAUUUCGAGUGACACGUGUUGCUAAAGUGAGUAACUCUCUAAACUUCUUAUCUUUAUGUAAUCUUAAUAAUUUUUCAGAUAGGAUUUCAAGUGUUAUAUGUCGAGAUGUAAUUAGUUGUGCAAAUUUUAGAUAGGAUUCUUAUUUACGUGGUACUUCUUAUCUUUCGCUUUCAAUGUUAAUAAAUUGGUUGGAUAUUGGGGUAGAAUUCACACACCUCCAAACAUCUUCACUUGUUUGAGAACUAUCAUUGACAUUAUCUU
rnacentral:lncRNA from 1 species